UACGGAGGGGGCUAGCGUUGUUCGGAAAUACUGGGCGUAAAGCGCACGUAGGCGGCUUUCUAAGUCAGGGGUGAAAUCCUGGAGCUCAACUCCAGAACUGCCUUUGAUACUGGAGAGCUUGAGUCCGGGAGAGGUGAGUGGAACUCCGAGUGUAGAGGUGAAAUUCGUAGAUAUUCGGAAGAACACCAGUGGCGAAGGCGGCUCACUGGCCCGGUACUGACGCUGAUGUGCGAAAGCGUGGGGAGCAAACAGG
rnacentral:rRNA from 1 species